UACGAAGGGUGCAAGCGUUACUCGGAAUUACUGGGCGUAAAGCGUGCGUAGGUGGUUCGUUAAGUCUGAUGUGAAAGCCCUGGGCUCAACCUGGGAAUGGCAUUGGAUACUGGCGGGCUAGAGUGCGGUAGAGGGUAGUGGAAUUCCCGGUGUAGCAGUGAAAUGCGUAGAGAUCGGGAGGAACAUCCGUGGCGAAGGCGACUACCUGGACCAGCACUGACACUGAGGCACGAAAGCGUGGGGAGCAAACAGG
rnacentral:rRNA from 1 species